UACGUAGGGUGCAAGCGUUGUCCGGAAUUAUUGGGCGUAAAGCGCGUGUAGGCGGCUUGGCAAGUCGGGUGUGAAAGCCCUCAGCUCAACUGAGGAAGUGCGCCCGAAACUGCUUUGCUUGAGUGCUGGAGAGGGUCGCGGAAUUCCCCAAGUAGAGGUGAAAUUCGUAGAUAUGGGGAGGAACACCGGUGGCGAAGGCGGCGACCUGGACAGUAACUGACGCUGAGACGCGAAAGCGUGGGUAGCAAACAGG
rnacentral:rRNA from 1 species